UAAAAGUUAUGUCUUUUCUCACCAUGUUCUGUGAGUGCCACUGUGGGCAGUACCAAUGAUGACAAAGGCUCAGCAGAUAUGAAGAG